UGGUUCUGGCAUCGAUGAAGAACGCAGCGAAAUGCGAUAAGUAAUGUGAAUUGCAGAAUUCAGUGAAUCAUCGAAUCUUUGAACGCACAUUGCGCCCUUUGGUAUUCCGAAGGGUAUGCCUGUUCGAGCGUCAUUUCAAACCCUCAAGCUCUAUGCUUGGUGUUGGGCUAUCGUCUUUUUGUAAAAAGAGACGUGCCUGAAACUCAUUGGCAGUAGCGUCUAGCUCUUUAGCGUAGUUAUUUAUUCCGCUCUAGUAUUUAGGCACUACCCGCCAGAUGAACCCCCCAAUUUUUUUUUCUAUGGUUUGACCUCGGAUCAGGUAGGGAUACCCGCUGA
rnacentral:misc_RNA from 1 species